UUAGUCUUUUAAUUAAAGACUUGAAUGAACGAUUAAACAAUUUAAUUCCUUUUUUUUAAAUACAAAGAAAUUUAAUUAAAUGUAAAAAUGCAUUUAUACCAAAAUUAGACGAUAAGACCCUAUUAAACUUUACUUUAGUUUAGCUGGGGAAGCUAAUUAAAUAUUAUUUUAAUUUUCCUUUUUAUAAAAACAUCCAAUAAAAUUGAUUUAUAAGUUACUAUAGGGAUAACAGCAUAAUAUUUUUUAAAAGCUCUUAUUAAAAAAAAAGUUUAUGACCUCGAUGUUGAAUUAAUUUUCUUUUAAAAGCAAC
rnacentral:rRNA from 1 species